rnacentral:lncRNA from 1 species
AUUUCGCCAUGUGUUUUGAUUUUUUUAUUUCGUUCGACAUUGUACACUUCAUUGGUUCAAUCGGUGCGGCUCGGGCUCACUCCCUUUCCUGACUUAUUUCGCCAAAAAAAAAUGGCAACAGCCUACAUUUUAUGCUUGACAAAUCCAUCUGAUAAAUAACGUGGCCUGCUGUACAUUUUCCUAAAAUGUCUUGCUGCACGUGCCGGCUGUACGUGUAGCACAUGCAGAAAUACUUACUAACUGUGAAGGUGAUAAUGUUGGUCAACUUGUUAACCUCUGAGCUACUUUGAUGGAGUCCAUUGUGCACAUUGAUUUGUUGCAGCCAGAUGGUGAAAGGUGUUCCUCUGCAGUCUUGCCACCUGUUUCAGUUGUAGCUUUCCUCACAUGCAGAAACACUUGAGAUCAAUCUAAAACAGUGGCUGGAAAUGUGUUUCAUAUUUACAUAGAAAAAUGAUGAGAAAUUUCCAGCCAUCUGACCUAGCUGAAUUGGAAUGGAAGUGAAGAAUUCUAAAGGGACAUGUUGAAUAACUUGCCUAUCUCCACAUGGUGGCUGCCAUGUCAUGAAGAUAUGUCUUUGAAGGGGUUUCUACUACUUUGCAUGACAGAAAUGUGACAAAAACAGGAAAUCUGUAAUGGUAAUAUCUUGUAAAAUGAAUCAAGUAGGGUUUCAUUUUGCUCUUGAUGUCGAAGACAAGUGAUAUCCUAUUUCAUGCUUCCAAACAAAGACAUCAUUCAUGGAAGUUCUAUGUUAUUAUGUAAAUUUGUUUUGACCUAAGUAACAGCACGGAAAUUCCCUUUAUACUUAAAAACUUGAACGAAAUCUUCAUGAUGAGGCGACCUUUGCUCAUCUUCCUAAUUUCUUUUUCUGUGUUCUGUUAUGGAUUAUUUAAAGGGGAGUUUGUUGUAUGCAAGAUGGGCAGAUUCUGAAAGAAGAUUUGUUUAUUUGUUCCACUGUAAAGUAUUCGUUAAAGUUUAAAUGAAUUUGUAUUUAAAUCUUAAAUGAGUGCAUCUGGUUUCAUGUAAAUUUAUUAAUUUAAGUUUCCACGAUAGGUAUAAGAUAAUGUUGCCAUAUAAUAUUUGGGUUGAAUAUUAGAAGUG